GUGACUGUGGCGGUGUAGGUGGAAGCAGUGGUGGAGGAGGAGGAUGAGGUAACAAACACUGUUUUUAUAUAUAUAUUCAUAAAAAAAUGUUUUAAUUGGGGUAGCCCCCAAAAUAUUGGGACAUAUAAAAAAAGACAACUCUGUUCCGCAGAGUAGCUGUUGACAUUAUAGUUGCGCAGGCACUUUGUUCUAGAGAACCUUGGGCCAAUCGCACAUCCCCGUGGUGGCGACUUUGCAUGCGGAUGUCAUCCAUAUCAACUUUCAAUGCCAGUUUCUGCACCUACCAUGGUGACCACGGGUAACAGGGAAUCAGGGUUCCAUUCCGUACAAGGACCCUGAGAAACGGCUACCACAUGCAAGGAAGGCAGCAGGCGCACAAAUGACCCACUCCCGAUGUGGGAAGGUAGUGACGACAAAUAACAAUACAGGACUCUUUAGAGGCCCUGUAAUUGUAAUGAGUCCACUUGAAGUCCUUUAACUCUGAUCAAUUGGAGGGAAGUCUGGUGCAGAGCCACUGACCCGUGCGUGCUGCAGCUUAAA
rnacentral:rRNA from 1 species